UCUCGCUUUCUCUCUUUCUCUCUCUCUCUGAGGACCUGAGCCCUAGGACCAUGCCUCAGGACUACCUGGCAUGAUGACUCCUUGCUGUCCCCAGUCCACCUGGCCGUGCUGCUGCUCCAGUUUCAACUGUUCUGCCUGCGGCUAUGGAAUCCUGUCCUGUUCACCGGACCAUGCUGGAUACUGUUAUCUGUUGACGUGGUCCUAAUUCGGGACCUGUUACACUACCAACUCCCACCUGACACUAUAGAUAUCACACAUACACAUUUCUCGGGAGCAGCAAAUGCAGGGUCAACCACAGAGCAACGCUCCAGGAGCGGUUGAGGGGUUAAGUGCCUCGAUCAAGGACACAACAUUAGGGAAUUGUAGCUGUGACCUGAAACCAGCAGUCUUCCAGUUGUCAGUUUAGUUCCAGAUUUUCAUCACCAGAACCGAGACUUGAAUCAAUGACUUUCUGAGCUACGUAUUGUUUCCUUGUAUCAGGCUUUACAAUCAGAUAAGUGAAGUAAUAUGUAAUUGCAAUGGAUUUAAUGGAAUAUGGAUUCAUUUGCUGAUAUGAUCAUACUGUCAAUGCGAGUAAUGGACUCUCUUGCUUGGAUAAAAAUAAA
ensembl:lncRNA